UCACCUUCAUCUUCAUCUUCAUCUUCAUCUUCAUCUUCCUCUUCCUCUUCAUCUUCCUCAAUGUGUUGGUCUCAACAAAAUGAUAAAUAGAUAGAUCGAUAGAUCCCAACCGUUCUAAGCCAUUUCCAUAACUAGGAGUGGAGCUGGAAACUUCGUGGGAAGGCAGAGUUUCAGAUCUUGAAGGCUCAAUCUAUAUGAAAUAUAAUUCUUGAACUUAUUGGUGUUA